rnacentral:rRNA from 1 species
AGUGAACGCUGGCGGUAGGCCUAACACAUGCAAGUCGAACGGCAGCACAGUAAGAGCUUGCUCUUACGGGUGGCGAGUGGCGGACGGGCGAGGAAUACAUCGGAAUCUACUUUUUCGUGGGGGAUAACGUAGGGAAACUUACGCUAAUACCGCAUACGACCUACGGGUGAAAGCAGGGGAUCUUCGGACCUUGCGCGAUUGAAUGAGCCGAUGUCGGAUUAGCUAGUUGGCGGGGUAAAGGCCCACCAAGGCGACGAUCCGUAGCUGGUCUGAGAGGAUGAUCAGCCACACUGGAACUGAGACACGGUCCAGACUCCUACGGGAGACAGCAGUGGGGAAUAUUGGACAAUGGGCGCAAGCCUGAUCCAGCCAUACCGCGUGGGUGAAGAAGGCCUUCGGGUUGUAAAGCCCUUUUGUUGGGAAAGAAAAGCAGCAGGUUAAUACCCCGCUGUUCUGACGGUACCCAAAGAAUAAGCACCGGCUAACUUCGUG